rnacentral:rRNA from 1 species
UACGGGGGGGGCAAGCGUUGUUCGGAAUUACUGGGCGUAAAGGGCGCGUAGGCGGUCCUGUAAGUCUUGUGUGAAAUCCCUCGGCUUAACUGAGGAACUGCACGAGAUACUGCGAGACUUGAGUUCGGGAGAGGAAAGCGGAAUUCCGGGUGUAGCGGUGAAAUGCGUAGAUAUCCGGAGGAACACCGGUGGCGAAGGCGGCUUUCUGGACCGACACUGACGCUGAGGCGCGAAAGCUAGGGGAGCAAACGGG